AGAGUUUGAUCCUGGCUCAGAACGAACGCUGGCGGCGUGGAUUAGGCAUGCAAGUCGAGCGAGAACCGGUUUGUGGCAAUACCGACCGGGGACAGCGGCGAACGGGUGAGUAAUGUAUGGGCAAUCUGCCCCUAAGUUGGGAAUAGCCUGCCGAAAGGCGGAGUAAUACCGAAUGUGGUCCCCCUGCGCAUGCAGGGGUGUCUGAAGACGGGGAUCGCAAGACCUGUCGCUUAGGGAUGAGCCCAUAUCCUAUCAGCUUGUUGGUGAGGUAACGGCUCACCAAGGCUUACGGGUAGCUGGUCUGAGAGGAUGGUCAGCCACACUGGGACUGAGACACUGCCCAGACUCCUACGGGAGGCUGCAGUCGAGGAUCUUGGACAAUGCGCGAAAGCGUGAUCCAGCGACGUCGCGUGUAGGAUGAAGGCCUUCGGGUUGUAAACUACUGUCAUGAGGGAGCAAUGACGUGGGCGCUAACACCGCUUGCGAAUGAUAGUACCUCAGGAGGAAGACACGGCUAACUCUGUGCCAGCAGCCGCGGUAAUACAGAGGUGUCGAGCGUUGUUCGGAUUUACUGGGCGUAAAGAGUGCGUAGGCGGUCUUGUGUGUCGGAUGUGAAAGCCUGUCGCUUAACGACAGAACGGCAUCUGAAACUACAGGACUUGAGUUCAGGAGAGGAUGGCGGAAUUCUCGGUGUAGCGGUGAAAUGCGUAGAUAUCGAGAGGAACACCCGUGGCGAAGGCGGCCAUCUGGACUGAUACUGACGCUGAGGCACGAAGGCCGGGGGAGCAAACAGGAUUAGAUACCCUGGUAGUCCCGGCAGUAAACGUUGUGUACUUGGUGUGAGGGGAGUUAUCCCCCCUCGUGCCGGAGCUAACGCGUUAAGUACACCGCCUGGGGAGUACGGCCGCAAGGCUAAAACUCAAAGGAAUUGACGGGGGCCCGCACAAGCGGUGGAGCAUGUGGCUUAAUUCGAUCCACGCGAAGAACCUUACCUGGGCUUGACAUGCAGCUGCACGACCUAUGAAAGUGGGUCUCCUUCGAGGGCCUGCACAGGUGCUGCAUGGCUGUCGUCAGCUCGUGCCGUGAGGUGUUGGGUUAAGUCCCGCAACGAGCGCAACCCCUGUGACUAGUUGCCCCUUCCAACGAAAGACGGAACGCACUCUAGUCAGACUGCCUGUGAUAAGCAGGAGGAAGGUGGGGAUGACGUCAAGUCAGUAUGGCCUUUAUGCCCAGGGCUGCACACGUGCUACAAUGAACGGUACAGAAGGAAGCAAGACCGCAAGGUGGAGCAGAUCCAAAAAACCGUUCCCAGUUCGGAUUGGAGUCUGCAACUCGACUCCAUGAAGCCGGAAUCGCUAGUAAUGGCGCAUCAGCUACGGCGCCGUGAAUACGUUCCCGGGCCUUGUACACACCGCCCGUCACAUCAUGAAAGCCGAUUGCACCCGAUGUCACCGACUCGACCCGCAAGGGGGAUAGGUGCCUAAGGUGUGAUUGGUGAUUGGGAUGAAGUCGGACAAGGUA
rnacentral:rRNA from 1 species